CAGAAUGGAGGAUAGAGAGAAAGGGGAGUGUGAAAUAAUUUUAGGAAUUUGGCUAUGAAGAAGAGAUGAGGCGGACAAUAUUCUCUUUAGUUCUCCGGAUAAAAUGAUGCAAUCGUGUUCAUAUCCUAAAGAAGAAAGAAGCUGCUAGAGGAGAAGAGGCUGAAGGCACAGAGAGGAAUUACACGGCUCCAUGGAUCAUGCAGAGUGAGGUCCCUGCUGAAGUCCGGGAGGAGUGGGCUCUGGGAGUGGGGGGAGCACUGGCAGGGGUAGGAGCACCACCCACUGAGCGGCAAGGAAGGAAGGAUGUCAGGGUCACCCGGAAGGAGAGGGACACUUGAGAGAGUUUAACUGAAGAGACUGGACUAAAAGUAUGGACAAAGGAGGGCGAGGAAACCUAGGGACAAGGAAAAAAGUGCAGGUGUUUCUCCGGCUUCUCCCCUUGAUCAUAAUUGCAAGCUGGCAGCGUGAGACAGAGAGAAGGAGAAAGAAACACAAACGCAUUUAGUGAAGCUGGGAGCUCUCUUCAGUCCCACACAUGAAGAGAAGACUGAAAACUUCUUUAGUGGAAUGCAUAGAACGAGCCUUAAAUGCCUGCUGAAGACGGGUUCAUCCUGCAGAACGUGGAAUUGCUCAGGGCUUGAAGGCCUUGAAGACAGGAGAAGGGUGCAGACAGGAAAACGGUGGGAAUUGGUGAAAGUCUGUGUGAAAACUGCAGGGCCCCAGGCCUCCACCCGCACCGGGGGAGCCACACACCCGCCCUUUUGCCGUGGGCUCUUUUCCGAAAGGCCGGAGUUGUUUCCCAAGCCUGGCUUGGCCUCGAGACUCGCUUUAACCGAUAGAAUGUUGUAGAAAUGACGUGGCACCAACUCUGAGCCCAGGACACGAGGCCUCCUCUGGCCUCCACUCACUCUCUGGGAACCCCACUGGCCUCCAUGUGAACCAGCCCCUGGAUGAGGGGGACAGAGGGCCCUUCCUGCCCCGUCACAGAACAAAGCAUCCAGCCACCUGCAGCUGACCACAGGUCAUGAAUGAGCUGGACAAGCCGCCCAGAAGAGCCUGUCCUUCAUCGCUGACCCACAGGAUCUUAAGCUAAAUAAAUGGUUGUGUUUCUUUAAAACCACUAUGUUUUGGGGUGGGGUUUUUUUUCAUGCAAAAAAGUUGACAGAUUCACCUUCGUGGGAAACUAGAAGUUUAUUCUCUGGAGAAAUUGAACCAGAAAGCCUCUUGACUCAGGGUCGCCAGGUAAGGCAGUGGGUAGGGGCGAGGUUUGGACCUGAGAACGCGGAGACUGAUGAGGGGCGCAUGCCUCUACCUGGUUCUUGCCCAUGGCCCGGAUCCAGGGCCCCAGCGUCAGGGCAUUGUCUCCCAGGAAGGAGACCAGAGCAGCCUCUCUGCAGGAGCCCAGGGAGCCCAGAGGACCCUAAACAGAGACAUGAUGUGGGAGGACCGCGUCAACCUGCGCCCAGUGGGCUACUGUGUCACCAGACCCGAGGGGACCUUCCAGCGACAGCAAGAAAAGUCACAGAUGUUAGAAAGCCCAGCUUCCAGCCCGGUCACACCGCCCUCCACCACCUCCAUGCAGAAAUGUCAGGCAACCUUCAGCAUGGUGUCUUCAAGAUUCAUCCACGUAGUAGUGUAUACCAGUACCUCGCUGCUUCCUAAAGCUUGAUGAUAUUCCAUUGUAUGGACACGUCACGUUCUGUGCAUCCCUUCAUCACUUCAUAAACAUUUGGAUUGUUACCACUUUUAUGGCUACUAUGAAU
rnacentral:lncRNA from 1 species